rnacentral:rRNA from 1 species
GGGUGAGUAACACGUGGAUAACCUACCUAUAAGACUGGGAUAACUUCGGGAAACCGGAGCUAAUACCGGAUAAUAUUUUGAACCGCAUGGUUCAAAAGUGAAAGACGGUCUUGCUGUCACUUAUAGAUGGAUCCGCGCUGCAUUAGCUAGUUGGUAAGGUAACGGCUUACCAAGGCAACGAUGCAUAGCCGACCUGAGAGGGCGAUCGGCCACACUGGAACUGAGACACUGUCCAG